rnacentral:piRNA from 1 species
UCCAAUACGGAAACACUGAUU